rnacentral:rRNA from 1 species
GAUGAACGCUGGCGGCGUGCUUAACACAUGCAAGUCGAACGGGAUCCAUCAAGCUUGCUUGGUGGUGAGAGUGGCGAACGGGUGAGUAAUGCGUGACCGACCUGCCCCAUACACCGGAAUAGCUCCUGGAAACGGGUGGUAAUGCCGGAUGCUCCAGUUGGAUGCAUGUCCUUCUGGGAAAGAUUCUAUCGGUAUGGGAUGGGGUCGCGUCCUAUCAGGUAGUCGGCGGGGUAACGGCCCACCGAGCCUACGACGGGUAGCCGGCCUGAGAGGGCGACCGGCCACAUUGGGACUGAGAUACGGCCCAGACUCCUACGGGAGGCAGCAGUGGGGAAUAUUGCACAAUGGGCGCAAGCCUGAUGCAGCGACGCCGCGUGCGGGAUGACGGCCUUCGGGUUGUAAACCGCUUUUGAUCGGGAGCAAGCCUUCGGGUGAGUGU